rnacentral:piRNA from 1 species
UAUCUCAGUGUAUGUGAUAAGCCCAAUAAU